AUGACCCACGCCAGGCAGAAGGGUUCCCUAAGCCGGUGCCACAGUGUGGGGCGGGACCAGGGUGGCACCAGAGGGCGGCCGCGUGGUGAGACCAUGGGCCGGGCGUGGCCUGAGCGCUUCCUGAAAGAGGCGGGCGCUAAGAGGGGCAUGGCCAAGAAGGGCCAAUCAAAGGAGCCGAAAGAGGUGAAGGGGGAAGUGGACAGGAAACACUACCCUCUGAGGGGACGGGGAGGCACCUUGGAGGAAGGGUUGCUAAGCAACCCCGUACAAAAACUGUCCCGAGGCCAGGCCAGCGGGAGGCGGAAGAAGGCACAGAGUGGACGAGCGCGCAGGGGGACGUCCUCAAGACGAGCGCGCAGGGGGAAGUCCUCGACAAAGAGCUCAGACAGCGAGCCAUCAGGCAGCACAAGCAAGGCGUCUAAAACCACAUCAGCAGCGCAGGACCAGGGGGCAGGCCAGGUGUCCUCUAAAACCACAUCAGGCCAGGUGUCAUCUAAAACCACAUCAGGCCAGGUGUCAUCUAAAACCACAUCAUUCCAGGUGUCCUCUAAAACCACAUCAGGCCAGGUGUCAUCUAAAACCACAUCAGGCCAGGUGUCCUCUAAAACCACAUCAGGCCAGGUGUCCUCUAAAACCACAUCAGGCCAGGUGUCAUCUAAAACCACAUCAGGCCAGGUGUCAUCUAAAACCACAUCAGGCCAGGUGUCCUCUAAAACCACAUCAGGCCAGGUGUCAUCUAAAACCACAUCAGGCCAGGUGUCAUCUAAAACCACAUCAGCAGCGCUUCUCCCGGUGUGGGAGCCACGCAAGCGCAGGUUGGCGUCCCUCAACGCCGAGGCAUUCAACAGCCUGCUGCUGGUGAGGGCGGAGGGCCCUCCAGCCACCAAAGUCGCCAAGAAGAGCCCGCAGGAAGGACCUGCUGGAGGGGAAUGUACCUCCACCUCAGCGCCACCUGCUGGAGGGGAAUGUACCUCCACCUCAGCGCCACCUGCCGGAGGGGAAUGCAACUCCACUACAGCGCCACCUGCUGGAGGGGAAUGCAACUCCACUACAGCACCAGCUGCUCAGGACCCCUCCACUGGA
rnacentral:lncRNA from 1 species